GCCCAGGUGGCGGAAUUGGCAGACGCACUACUUUGAGGUGGUAGCGCCGCAAGGCGUGCAGGUUCAAAUCCUGUCCUGGGCA
rnacentral:tRNA from 1 species